AUAAAGGGUCAAACCCACAGGACCAGAAGCAAAAAUGAAAAGUAAUCGUCUCCUACUUCCAAAAUCCACACUUUUCACAAAGAAACAGUUCUUUCAUCCUGGAACUGAACGAAAAAUAAGUAAAAGAAAAAAAAUAGAUGAAAGCAAAAAUAAAGCUAACAUGCUCUCCAUCUGAAAGUCAAACAAGGACGAUGGUGGGCAACUUCUCAAUCAGUAAAGAGACACAACCAACAUAACGAUAACUAUUCCUCAUUCGACCCAAGGUCAAGAAUGGAUCGUUCCCAGUCACAAACAAACGAGAAACAACAUGCACGAUUCGCUAAGAAAGCUUACCUGUUAUCGCUAAAUCGAAAUGGUGAUUUGAGAAGGUAACACCUCGUCUGACCCUUUUCUUUACUUCGUGCUUUGUUCUCCUUUCUCCCUCUUCUGAAUGGUUCGCGAGCUGGGGCUUCGUGAGGGUUCGCCUUUUCUUCUCCAAUAAAAAUAGGGUUUCUCGCCUUUUUUUAUCUGAUUUCUUUUGCUUGUGAACAAUAUCCGCCGCUCAAUGAGGAGAAAGUUCUCCCUUUAUAUUCAUCCUAUUAGGGUUUGAAUUGGCCGCCGAGACCAAAGGAGUAUCGGAAUUCAGAGUGCUUCCUUGCGCUGCUCUGUUGUCUACCCCAUUUUGAUGCUUAUUCUGAAAAAGUGAAUUUUCUCGACACACUUGAAGAAAUGGAAUAUGCGUAAUAUUGAUACAAAAUGGGAAUCAUGUCUACUACUUCAGCAAGCAAUUACGUCAGGCUUCUAUCUGCGUGCUACGGAACGGAGAGUAUCACACUAUGUUGAGUUUUCUAGAAGAGAACAAGUGUGUGGGGGAACUUGAAGAGAACACUGAAUGUGAUGAAAACUCACUGGAUUAACCUGUUUGCAAACAAAGUUCUAUGGAAGCGAGUGUAGUUGGGCAUCCUUAGAGAAAACCUUAUGGAAUACUACAUGCCAAUGGUAGUGAUGGAGAACAAGGAAGCCAAAUCGUGUCAUGAUGGGGAAGAUUUUGAAUGACAUUGUUCCAUUCCAAUCCUCUGUCACUUCAUCUUAAAUACCUGGAGCUUUUUAAGUGAACAAAAUCCUGAGAAGGUAAGAUCCUGCUCGGAUAUCACCUCAAAAGUUGAAGAUUCAGCCAAUCAUAGGAAGGUACAACACUUGCGGUUCUUCUUCUAAGCUACUUGAAAUGGUAAGUUCAACCAAGUUCUCUAGCUUUCAAACAUACAAAACUGCAGGUUGUGUUGCAAUAACUCAUUCUCAAACCAUUGCAUCUCAACAUCCUCAGGAACAGAGUAAUCACAUACACUAAAGCUUUUCGACAUUGCUAUCCAAACUCUUGAUCCUUUACAUGAUUUAUUAUACAGAAAUUCCUGAAGAGGCUGGUUGAUGAUCAUGGAAGCAUUGACCUCGAGUGGCUGAGAGACGUUCCACUACUCGCAGUGCAAAGCUUGCCCGAGUCACUACAGUUGCAUCUCCUAGAAAUGUACCCAGUGUUGGAGUCAUUACAAAGUAUCUCUGGCCUCGAUUGUGCUAGAUUUGGAAAGAUAAGUUGCAUUUCUUUAUGAGAAUCCAACAUUAUUUAUCUAAAGCCUAUUGUGAUUUGGACAUGAACUGUGAUAAAUGCAAAUCUUUGAUUGAGCUUGGCUUUGAUGGUAGUUGUCGUUUUGUGUUGAUGCUGUGGUGUACAGUCUCGCUGCGUUUUGCAUUUAGCUCUUUCUAGUUUGGCUUGCUGCAUUUUGUUCUGUUGUUUCGGUAGCGGUUUCGGCAGCUGCGCGCAGCUUGUUGUUGGUGUAUUGCCGUUGUUGCAGCUAAUGUGUUUCAUGUGCUGCAUUUUUACCUUUCAAUUUUACAUUGUCGUUCACUGCUAUUGUUCGCGUAACAACAUGUUAUUUUAUUUUUUUGCAGGAGCUUAGGCAAUGUCCCUCUUAUGUUGCUUCCGGUACAUGGCAGUCCAGAUAAGCUUGGAUGGCUCCAACUUGUUGUGGAAGUACCUCCUGCAUUUCGAAUUAACAAAAAGGAAAACAUGUGAAUCACUUCGGAUAAAUCUUAUUUCUCUCCCAGGAUAGAUCUUGGCACCACUAAAACGGCACAACUCGGUCUUGAGAACCGUUUUGUUGAUGCUUUUGUUGUUGCCUGCCUUCUCUUGUGCAGUAUACCUGAGGUGUAAGUGUAGGUGCUGUUUAAAGCAACAACUUGUUUUUUAUUAAUUUUGCAAAACCAGGAACACCAUUUGAAGUGUUCAAAUAUCUGCUUCUAGCCUGUGAACUGCUGCUAUCAGUAACACCAACAUUCAUAUCCUGAUUUUCCUUCAUCUUGGUUUUAUCACUGUUCUAACUUAAAUAAAUGACGAUGGAAGUGUUGUUGUAAUCUUUCAUUUGCAUAUUGUUGUCUCUUUUAUGCAGGAAUUGCAGUAGCUCAACAAAAUCACCUCAUCGUGGUGGGUGAAAUAGCUGUUUGAGAAUGUCAUAGCCUCAUCCGCAGUAUUCCCUUACACAUGUAUGCACUAGCUAGGUUUGACCAUGUAUCAACAGAACCGGAACGGAACUCAAUGGCAACCAAGUAAUAGCAAAAUAGAAAAUAGCAAGAUCAAUGUUACCUUUUCUUUCCAUGCCUUUUCUACAUUACCGUAACACUCGGCCAAGUGGCUUGACCCCUAAGAGCUUCUUCAGAUUCUCGUCCGUACACAUAUCAAACUUAUGCAACUUGUAACAAAUUACACCGUGAAGUGGUCCGUCGUCGGUAUGGAGUGGAUUUGCUCUCAACGACAGUGCUGUUGUGUUCCAUUCCCUUGUAACUUCCAGUUUUGUACAUGUGAUGUGAAUGAAAAAUUAGUGCUUUUGUAGCAAGACAAAAUUAUUUCCUUGUAUUUUGGAACUUCCAUGUAU